rnacentral:rRNA from 1 species
AGUGAACGCUGGCGGCGUGCUUAACACAUGCAAGUCGAACGAGAACGGGAUAUAGCUUGCUAUAUUUGUCAGCUAAGUGGCGCACGGGUGAGUAAUGUAUAGAUAACCUGCCCUUAAGAAAGGAAUAACAGUUGGAAACGACUGCUAAUGCCCUAUAUGCCUUUAAUACAUAAGUAUGCAAGGGAAACGCUUUAGUGCUUAAGGAUGGGUCUGUAUGGUAUCAGCUUGUUGGUGAGGUAAUGGCUCACCAAGGCUACGACGCCUAACUGGUUUGGGAGGAUGAUAAGGCACACUGGAACUGAGCAACGGUCCGGACUACUAAGGGGGGCAGCAGUGGGGAAUAUUGCCCAACGGACGAAAGGCUGAUGCAGCAACGCCGCGUGGAGGAUGACACAUUUCGGUGCGAAAACUCCCUUUAUAUAGGAAGAUAAUGACGGUACUAUAUGAAUAAGCACCGGCUCACUCCGUGCCAGCAGCCGCCGUAA